rnacentral:rRNA from 1 species
ACCCGCUGAACUUAAGCAUAUCAGUAAGCGGAGGAAAAGAAACUAACUAGGAUUCCCCGAGUAGCGGCGAGCGAAAGGGGAAAAGCCCAGCGCCGAAGCCCGCGGCCCCCGGUCGCAGUGCAAUGUGGCGUUUCGGCGGCGCUCAGCCCUCGGCUUCUCUGGCACGAGUACCUCUGAAUGGGUCUGCCCGCAGCGGGUGUCAGGCCUCUACUUGCCAAACGAGUUGCCGAGGCGUCGACGUCGUCGCGGAGUCGGGUUGCUUGAGAGUGCAGCCCAAAGUGGGUGGUAAGCUCCAUCUAAGGCUAAAUACCUAGUGCGAGACCGAUAGCAAACAAGUACCGUGAGGGAAAGUUGCAAAGAACUUUGAAAAGAGAGUUCAAGAGUACGUGAAACCGUUCAGAGGCAAACGGACGGAACUGGGCGAGUUCGCCGUCGUCAUUCAGCCGCUCGCGCGAGUUCGCUCGCGCGUCGGUGCACUUGGCGGCGGCGGAGCGCGACGACCGCCUGUCGGGUCGUCAGAAGCCCGGCGGCAAGGUGGCGACGCGCUCGCGCGUCGUGUUACAGGCCGCCGCGGCGUUGGCUGACCUGGCGGGCGAGGAGCGCCUGCGGUGCACUGCUCGUUCGCGGGCAGUGGCUCGCGUGGUGGGCUUGCGGACGCCGGCGACGAACUGCUCGCAGUUUGACGUCGCGCGCUCCGUCUGUCGCGCCGCGCGACGCCACGGGGCACCCGGGGUCCGGGUCGUGUGGUUCCUGGCACUCCGUCCGACCCGUCUUGAAACACGGACCAAGGAGUUGAGCACGCGCGCGAGUCGAUGGGCAUGACGAACCCCAGUGGCGCAGCUAAGGCAAAACGGGCGUGAUCCGGCACUGGCGUGUCGGCGCAACGCCGGCCCGCAGCCGACUCGUUGCGAGUGGCUGCGGCGCAAGAGCGUGCGUGCUCAGACCCGAAAGGUGGUGAACUAUGCUUGAGCAGGGCGAAGCCAGAGGAAACUCUGGUGGAGGCUCGCAGCGAUCCUGACGUGCAAAUCGGUCGUCAAACUUGAGCAUAGGGGCGAAAGACUAAUCGAACCGCCUAGUAGCUGGUUCCCUCCGAAGUUUCCCUCAGGAUAGCUGGCACUCGGGAUAAAUGGUUUUAUCCGGUAAAGCGAAUGAUUAGAGGCAUUGGGGACGAAACGUCCUCAACCUAUUCUCAAACUUUAAAUGGGUAAGAGGCGCGACCCUUCCUGAUCGGGGUCGCGUGCUUGAACAGAGAGUGCCCAGUGGGCCGUUUUUGGUAAGCAGAACUGGCGCUGUGGGAUGAACCAAACGCUCGGUUAGGGUGCCUAACGCACGCUCAUGAGAUACCACAAAAGGUGUUGGUUGAUAUAGACAGCAGGACGGUGGCCAUGGAAGUCGGAAUCCGCUAAGGAGUGUGUAACAACUCACCUGCCGAAUCAACUAGCCCUGAAAAUGGAUGGCGCUGGAGCGUGCGACCCAUACCGGGCCGUCGGGGCAAUGCGUGCGAAAUGCCAGGCCCCGACGAGUAGGAGGGCGUGUCGGUGGCGUUGAAGCGUAGUGCGCGAGCACGCGUGGAGCCGCCUUCAGUGCAGAUCUUGGUGGUAGUAGCAAGUAUACAAAUGAGAACUUUGUAGACCGAAGUGGAGAAGGGUUCCAUGUGAACAGCAGUUGGACAUGGGUCAGUCGGCCCUAAGAGAUCGGAGAAUUCCGUUCUGAACGGGGAUGACGAGAGACGCUCGCUGCGCGCGUGACGUGCUCCGUCUGAACAAUGGGUGUACGCGUGCGUGCGGAUGCACGGCGCGCACGAGCGGAUCAGCGCGGUCGCCCCCGAUGCGAUCGAAAGGGAAUCGGGUUAAUAUUCCCGAACCUGGCAGUGGAGAUUGGGCCCUCGGGCCCCAGUGCGGUAACGCAACCGAACUCGGAGACGCCAGCGUCGAUCCCGGGAAGAGUUCUCUUUUCUUUGUUAGGAGCGGACUCCCUGGAAUUGGCUUGUCCAGAGAUAGGGACGUUGCAUCCGUAAAGCGUCGCGCCUCACGCGGCGUCCGGUGCAUCGGCGUUGGCCCUUGAAAAUCCGAGGAAGGCAGUGUAAUUUUCACUCCAGGCCGUACCCGAAUCCGCAGCAGGUCUCCAAGGUGCACAGCCUCUGGUCGAUAGAACAAUGUAGGUAAGGGAAGUCGGCAAAUCCGAUCCGUAACUUCGGGAUAAGGAUUGGCUCUGAGGUGCGGGCUGCUUCGGGUCGCGGCAAGAAGCGGGCCGCGCGUUGGCUGGACUGGGCGCUCGGGAAACUGGGCGCUCGGACCGUUGCCUGCGCGCGUCCGUGGGCGGCCGUGGCUUUCGCCGGCGUGGGCCUCGCGUCCGCGUCGGCUUCGUUCGGCCUAAACGCACAGCACAGAACUGGCACGGACUCUGGGAACACGACUGUCUAAUUAAAACAAAGCAUCGCGAUGGCCGCUGGUCGGUGUUGACGCGAUGUGAUUUCUGCCCAGUGCUUUGAAUGUCAAAG